rnacentral:rRNA from 1 species
UCAAGCUAAUAAGAGCACAGGGUGGAUGCCCAGGCACCAAACGCCGAUGAAAGACGUGGCAAGCUGCGAAAAGUCACGGGGAAUCGCAAGCAGGUAUUGAUCCGUGAACGUCUGAAUGGGGAAACCCGACGGGUUAACAGCCCGUCACUAUUAACUGAAUCAAUAGGUUAAUAGGGGGAACGCGGGGAACUGAAACAUCUCAGUACCCGUAGGAAGAGAAAAUAAAGAAUGAUUUCCUAAGUAGCGGCGAGCGAACGGGAAAGAGGCCAAACCGAAGGGCUUGCUCUUCGGGGUUGUGGAUCAGCAAAAAGGACGGAAGACCUUAGCAGAAGAGGAUUGGAAAGUCCCGCCAGAGAGGGUAAAAGCCCCUUACGCGAAAAGGUCAAACGACGAGCUGACACCAGAGUACCGCAGGACACGAGAAAUCCGGUGGGAAGCCGGGAGGACCACCUCCCAAGCCUAAAUACGAAUUGGUGACCGAUAGCGCAUAGUACCGUGAGGGAAAGGUGAAAAGAACCCCGGGAGGGGAGUGAAAAAGAACCUGAAACCCUGUGUUUACAAGCAGUGAAAGUGCGAGCAAGGCACGAUCACGUACUUUUUGUAGAACGGACCGGCGAGUUACGUUAUGCAGCAAGGUUAAGAACUGAAGGUUCGGAGCCGAAGCGAAAGCGAGUCUGAACAGGGCGAUAGUUGCAUGACGUAGACCCGAAACCGGGUGACCUAUCCAUGAGCAGGUUGAAGUGGAGGUAAAGCUCCAUGGAGGACCGAACCAGACGUCUGUUGAAAAAGGCGGGGAUGACUUGUGGAUAGGGGAGAAAUUCCAAUCGAACCCGGAGAUAGCUGGUUCUCCUCGAAAUAGCUUUAGGGCUAGCCUCAUGGAUCAUUGGUGGGGGUAGAGCACUGAAUGUGCGCGGGGGCCACAAAGCCUACCAAACGCUAUCAAACUACGAAUACCAUACAAUGCAGACCAUGGGAGUCAGUCCGCGAGAGAUAAGUUCCGCGGGCAAAAGGGGAACACCCCAGAUCAACCGCUAAGGUCCCCAAGUUCACGUUAAGUGGAGAAGGAUGUGGAAUUGCACAGACAACCAGGAUGUUGGCUCAGAAGCAGCCACACAUUUAAAGAGUGCGUAAUAGCUCACUGGUCGAGUGAUUGUGCGCCGAAGAUGUCCGGGGCUAAACGUGACACCGAAGCGAUGGGUGCAUCUGAAAGGAUGCGCGGUAGAGGAGCAAUGUGCAGAGGCAGAAGCCGUAUCGAGAGGCACGGUGGACACUGCACAAGAGAGAAUGCCGGUAUGAGUAGCGAGAGGCAUGCGAGAAACAUGCCCGUCGAAAGCCCAAGGUUUCCUGGGGAAGGUUCAUCCGCCCAGGGUAAGUCGGGGCCUAAGCCGAGGACGGAAGUCGUAGGCGAUGGACAGCAGGUGUAGAUUCCUGCACUACCGAUGGAAUGAAGCAGUGACACAGAAGGAUAACUCGAGCAGGGUGAUGGUCAACCCUGUGCAAGCAUCAAGGUUGGGUUGUAGUGAAGUACGCAACCCUACAAGCUGAGGUGUGAUGCGGACCGAAAUUUUAGUAGGGAAGCGAGUGAGUUCACGCUGGCGAGAAAAGCUGCUAGUACAUCCAAAGGUACCCGUACCGGAAACCGACGCAGGUGGGCGAGGAGAGAAUCCUGAGACGAACGGGAGAACCCUUGUUAAGGAACUCGGCAAAAUGACCCCGUAACUUCGGGAUAAGGGGUGCCUGCGAGAGCAGGCCGCAGAGAAUAGUCACAAGCGACUGUUUAGCAAAAACACAGGUAUCUGCGAAAGCGAGAGCUGACGUAUAGGUGCUGACACCUGCCCGGUGCUGGAAGGUUAAGGGAACAUGUUAGAGCAAUCGAAGCAUCGAACCGAAGCCCCAGUAAACGGCGGCCGUAACUAUAACGGUCCUAAGGUAGCGAAAUUCCUUGUCGGGUAAGUUCCGACCCG